UGAAUACGAGACGCUACGGCGUCGAAGCAGUCUAUGUCAUACUUCCAAGAAAAGCUUGCACUGUCAUAAACAAAUAAUGCCUGUACCAUAACCGACACAGGUGGGUAGGUAGAGUAUACUAAGGGGCGCGAGAUAACUCUCUCUAAGGAACUCGGCAAAAUGACUCCGUAACUUCGGGAGAAGGAGUGCCUUAUUUAUAAGGUUGCAAUAACAAGAUCCAAGCAACUGUUUAUCAAAAACACAGGUCUCCGCUAAGUCGUAAGACGAUGUAUGGGGGCUGACGCCUGCCCAGUGCCAGAAGGUUAAAGAAGUUGGUUAGCAUUAGCGAAGCUGAUAACUGAAGCCCUGGUGAACGGCGGCCGUAACGAUAACGGUCCUAAGGUAGCGAAAUUCCUUGUCGGGUAAGUUCCGACCCGCACGAAAGGCGUAAUGAUUUGGAUACUGUCUCGGAGAGGGGCUCGGUGAAAUAGACUUGUCUGUGAAGAUGCGGACUACCUGCACCUGGACAGAAAGACCCUAUGAAGCUUUACUGUAACCUGAAAUUGAAAUUGGACUUUAUUUGCGCAGUAUAGGUGGGAGGCGUUGAGAAUAUUCUUGCGGGAAUAUUGGAGCCAUCAGUGAGAUACCACUCUUGUAAUGUUAGAUUUCUAACUUUGAAUCAUUAUCUGGUCAAAGAACAGUUUCAGGCGGGCAGUUUGACUGGGGCGGUCGCCUCCUAAAUGGUAACGGAGGCGCACAAAGGUUUCCUCUGAACGGGUAGAAAUCGUAUCUAGAGUGUAAAGGCAUAAGGAAGCUUGACUGUGAGACCUACAAGUCGAGCAGGGACGAAAGUCGGUCUUAGUGAUCUGACGGUGCUGAGUGGAAAGGCCGUCACUCAACGGAUAAAAGUUACUCUAGGAUAACAGGCUGAUCUCCCCCAAGAGUUCACAUCGACGGGGAGGUUUGGCACCUCGAUGUCGGCUCAUCGCAUCCUGGGGCGGUAGUACGUCCCAAGGGUUGGGCUGUUCGCCCAUGAAAGCGGUACGCGAGCUGGGUUCAGAACGUCGUGAGACAGUUCGGUCCAUAUCCGGUGUAGGCGUUAGAAUAUUGAGAGGAGCCUUCUUUAGUACGAGAGGACCGAGAAGGACAUACCUCUGGUGUACCAGUUAUCGUGCCAACGGUAAACGCUGGGUAGCUAUGUAUGGAGAGGAUAACCGCUGAAAGCAUCUAAGUGGGAAGCCCACCUCAAGAUAAGUA
rnacentral:rRNA from 1 species